rnacentral:rRNA from 1 species
CAUGGCUCAGAUUGAACGCUGGCGGCAGGCUUAACACAUGCAAGUCGAACGGUAGCAGGAGAAAGCUUGCUUUCUUGCUGACGAGUGGCGGACGGGUGAGUAAUGCUUGGGAAUCUGGCUUAUGGAGGGGGAUAACUACGGGAAACUGUAGCUAAUACCGCGUAGAAUCGGAAGAUGAAAGUGCGGGACCGCAAGGCCGCAUGCCAUGAGAUGAGCCCAAGUGGGAUUAGGUAGUUGGUGGGGUAAGGGCCUACCAAGCCUGCGAUCUCUAGCUGGUCUGAGAGGAUGGCCAGCCACACUGGAACUGAGACACGGUCCAGACUCCUACGG